UCUUGUCCCUAUCCUCUCCUGCAACAGUUCUCUUUGAUGCUGUCUUUGUUAUCUGUACUCAUCUGUUCAAUAUAUUCUAUGUGCGUUCCUUCGUUGUUGCCUGUUAUUAUUGAUAAGAAUUUCUCUCCUAUUGCCUUCUUUUACCUCUUCAAGGUCAAUGUGUUGUAUGUCAGUAUGAUACUGAGCUGGAGGUUGUUACAGAAAACUUCGAAUCGAAUCCUCAAAAAUCAAUCUGUGAAACCCAUCUAUCAUUUACGGUCUUUGGCUAGUAGCUCACACAGUAAUAAUAGUGUACAAAUUUCUAAGGCAUUUUCCCAUUCAGAACUUCCAGUGAGGCGUCAACUCACUCCACAAAUUGUGGAGGCAACCUUAUUGAAUUGUCCUUCUGAUAUUAUCUCAUUGAGUUUUUUCUUAUGGUGCGCUCGUCAACCGAAUUACUUUCAUAAUCGCGAGUCUUUCGACCAAAUGGUUGUUGUUGUCUCUCGUCUCACUGAUCGGCUGAAAUCCGUCAAAGCGCUUGUUAGAGAGUUAGAACAUUUUGGGUGUUAUACAAAGCCACAAACUUUUUUGAUUUUGUUAAGAAUCUCUUGGCGUGGAGGAAUGUAUAGAUUGGUUUUGGAGGCUUUUGAGGAGAUGGUUGGUUCCGGUUACCUUCCAAACACCUUUGCACGAAAUAUGGUUAUGGAUGUCUUCUUCAAGAUUGGGCAUGUUGAUGCUGCCCUUGGGGUAUUGAGAGAUACACGACUACCAAAUUUCCUGACUUUUAACAUUGCAAUCUGUAAUCUUUGUAAGUUGAAAAACUUGUCUGUCCUUUGGGAUGUUUUACAAAUGAUGUUGAGACGGGGUUUUUAUCCAAACAUAGAGACUUUUGUAAUGAUUUUGAAUUGUUUCUGCAAAAGUGGUAAGCUUGUAGAGUCAUUACAAGUGUUGGCAUUUAUGAUAACUUCGGGUAUUCCCAUUUCGGUGACUGCUUGGAGUAUAUUGAUUGAUGGAUUAAGCAGGGUUGGUAGACUUGAUGAAGCGAGCCAUUUAUUGAAGAAGAUGAUUGAGAUUGGUCUUUGUCCUACUGUUGUAACCUAUACUUCUUUGAUUAAGGGGUUUAUGGGAUCCCAUAUGUUGGAUAGGGCGUAUGGAAUUUUAAAUACCAUGGAAUCUGGAGGGUGCUUGCCUGACGUGGUUCUAUGUAAUGUGUUAAUAGACUCUCUGUCUAAGAUUGGAAGGUAUGAUGAUGCACUUGACAUCUUCUUUGGGUUGCAUAAAGUGAACCUAAAACCUGAUUCAUAUAGCUUUUCUUCUGUAUUGUCUGCUCUAUGUUUGUCACGAAGAUUUGCACUUUUUCCCCGGUUGGUUAGGGGACUUGUUGUAUCAGCUGACCUUGUUGUCUGCAACUCCCUUCUAUGUUUUUUAAGCAAAGCGGGAUUCCCUUCACAAGCUGUAGAUUUCUAUAAUGUCAUGGUAGAAAGAGAUUUUACCCCAGAUGGGUAUAGUUAUGCUGCACUGUUAAGUGGAUUAUGCAGAGCAGGAAGAAUUGAAGAAUCAGUUACUGUUUACCAUGGGAUUGUCAUGAAUAAUUCUAGUAUUGAUGCUCACAUCCAUACCGUGAUCAUUGGUGAGCUCAUUAAAGUAGGUAAGAUUAAUAUAGCCAUCAGGUUGUUCAGGAAGGCAGUUGCUGAAAAGUACCCCCUAGAUGUUGUGUCGUAUACCGUCGCAAUCCAUGGACUUCUCCAGGGAGGUAGAACUGGAGAGGCUCUGACAUUGUAUGUACAGAUGAAGGAGGUUGGUGUAGUUCCUAAUACAUAUACAUGCAAUGUAAUGCUCUAUGGCCUUUGUAAAUUGAGGGAUUUGAAGUCAAUCAAGUGGUUACUAAGAGACAUGGCUGAAGUUGGGAUUGAUCAUGACUCUGUUACGUUGAAUAUUAUCAUCUAUUUCCUGGUGAAGUCCAACCGUUUUGAUUCAGUUAUUCACCUGUUAGCCGAGUUGCAGGAUUUGGGGUUUAUGCCAAAUAAAGCCACACAUGAGAUAUUACUUGAUGGUCUUGCCCGGGCUGGUGAAGUUGGUGAUUCAUGUUAUCCGUCAUUGAAAGAUUAUUUGGAGGAUAUAAUGAUUGUGGACGGAACAGACUCUGAUGACCUUCAUGAUGUGGCUGGAUCAGUAGUUUGAAUGGUAUUUGGAAAAGAGUUUUCUUUCUAUUGGUAGGAGCUGGAAUUGCUGUUGGUCUCGUACAAUCUAUAGGCUAUUAGAUACUCGGGGAAUCCCAAAGGUGAAUUUUGGUUGUUAAGGGACAAAUUUUCGAAGGAUGGUUGAGCUUCUUUUUGAAGAUAUUUUUACUGUGACUCGGUUGGAUCCAGAUGG